GAUGAACGCUAGCGAUAGGCUUAACACAUGCAAGUCGAGGGGCAGCACAAGGUAGCUUGCUAUCUGGGUGGCGACCGGCGCACGGGUGCGUAACGCGUAUGCAACUUGCCCUAUACAGGAGGAUAACCCGUCGAAAGACGGACUAAUACUGCGUAUGCUCACAACUUGGCAUCAAGUGGUGAGGAAAGAAAUUCGGUAUAGGAUAGGCAUGCGUCCCAUUAGCUUGUUGGUGAGGUAACGGCUCACCAAGGCAACGAUGCGUAGGGGAACUGAGGGGUGUAUCCCCCGGAAUGGUACUGCGACCCAGACCAGACUGCUACGGGAGGGAGCAGUGAGGAAUAUUAGUCAAUGGGGGCGGGCCUGAACCAGCCAGGUCGCGUGAAGGAUGACUGGCUUAUGGAUUGUAAACUUCUUUUAAACAAGAAAAACAAGAGUCACGUGUGACGCCCUGCAGGUACCUUAUGAAUAAGCAUCGGCUAACUCCGUG
rnacentral:rRNA from 1 species